ACCAAAGCGAUUCCCAAAUUUCAG
rnacentral:rasiRNA from 1 species